rnacentral:rRNA from 1 species
GAUGAACGCUGGCGGCGUGCCUAAUACAUGCAAGUCGAGCGAACAGACGAGGAGCUUGCUCCUUUGACGUUAGCGGCGGACGGGUGAGUAACACGUGGGUAACCUACCUAUAAGACUGGGAUAACUUCGGGAAACCGGAGCUAAUACCGGAUAAUAUUUCGAACCGCAUGGUUCGAUAGUGAAAGAUGGCUUUGCUAUCACUUAUAGAUGGACCUGCGCCGUAUUAGCUAGUUGGUAAGGUAACGGCUUACCAAGGCAACGAUACGUAGCCGACCUGAGAGGGUGAUCGGCCACACUGGAACUGAGACACGGUCUAGACUCCUACGGGAGGCAGCAGUAGGGAAUCUUCCGCAAUGGGCGAAAGCCUGACGGAGCAACGCCGCGUGAGUGAUGAAGGUCUUCGGAUCGUAAAACUCUGUUAUUAGGGAAGAACAAACGUGUAAGUAACUGUGCACGUCUUGACGGUACCUAAUCAGAAAGCCACGGCUAACUACGUG